rnacentral:lncRNA from 1 species
UCUCUAUGUAUAUAUAGGACUUGGGCUUUCUUUCCUCUCAUUAUUCACACUCACAAGCAAAGAGAAAAAUCUCUCUCUACACCAAAGAGAGGAUUGGAGAAGAAAAGAAAGAAAAAUUGAAGCAAGCUUGGAGAAGAUUAGAGUAGCUUGAAGUUGAAGCUCUCUCUAAUGGUGGAAGCAAGCUUUCCAAUAGUGGAUUUAGCUUGAUGUGAAUGGUGGUCUAAGGUGAGAUCUCAUAAUUUAAGCUAGGAUUUGGUUUAAUCCUUAAUGCUUAGUGUUCCAAUAGCCUCUAAUGUGUUGAUUAGCAUGUUAAAUCCAUUUAAUUUGGGUUAAUUGGAGCAUGUGUAGAGGCUAGGUUUAUAAUGAUAGAUCUUAAGAGCUUUAAUUAUAUGCUCUAAGAAUGGAUUUAGAGGAAUCCUUAGAUGCUAAAUGGAUGACUAUUGCAUGAAUUAAGGGAUCAUAUGAUGAAUUCUUGCAAUAGUGUAUCUUAAGGCUCAAAAAUGGAGUUUUGUGAAAUAGUAGGGUUUGAUCUCAUUUGACCCUCCGUAAACCUAAUUGCUAAGUCGGUUCGGUGAUUCGUUGAGCCGUUGCAAAGUUAUUAAAGAAACGGAUGUUUAGGCUUCGUUUCCGCCUGGAAGGCCGAGGCGACGCCCUAAAAUCAUUAGAUCGGAUCUGGAGCACCGUGUUAGCGUGGCGAAGAGCUUCUGCACUUGAAACGGCGAAGCAGUGCGCUCUUGGAGUGCAACUGUGAGAUCGGGCCCAAACCGGGUUACGGGUGCCGCGGGAGGCCGAUUGCCAGUGUCGACAAGCAAUCGAAAAGCGUGUUGAGGUCGGUUGUGCUCACCGAAGAGAUUAGGUUGCUUUCCGUGCCAAAGUGUAGUAUGUUUACUAUUGAUGCAUGAUAAAGUAUGCUAUUUAAGAAUGCAUGAUAAAGAUAGAUGUCAAAUGAAUGCAUGAGUUGAUGUUAAUUUACAUGUGCAUAUUAUAGAAAUGCUAAACAGAUGUCAAAUGAAAGUAUGAGAUUUAUACUAACCGAGAAUGCAUGUAGUAAAUGUUAACGAAUGCAUAAAAUGCUAAGUAAUGACUACCAAUGGAUGACAAAAUAUAUGCAUGUUGAAUAUAGAUCGAGUGGUAUUCGAAAUGGUAAAGUGGACACUAGAGUUAGUGUGGGACAUCAAAGAAUAAAUGUGAUGUAAAGAAUAAUAAUAAUGGGUAGAGACAAUGUAAAGCAAUGUGACGUAAAGAAUAAUGAUAAUGGUUAGAGACAAUGCAAAGCAAUGUGAUGUAAAGAAUAAUAAUAAUGGCUAGGGACAAUGCAAAGCAAUGUGAUGUAAAGAUAUAAAUGAUAUAUGGCUAGAGGACAAUGCCAAAUCAAUGUCAUGUAAAAGAAUAAUGAUAAUGGAGUUAAGAGGCAAUGUAAAGUAAUGUUUGGGCAUAAAAAAAGUAAAGUGUAAAGAACAUGUUAAGAAAUGGUUAGAGUUUAGCACAUGUGAAUAAAACACACUAGAGUUAGUGUGUAGGACAAACAAAAGAAUUAAUGUGUGACAUUAAGAAUGACAAUUACUAGCAGUAAUGACAGUGGGGUGUAAAGAACAAUGAUUGCUAGAGUUAGAACUAACUGUGAAUGUAAAGAACACUAGACGUUGUGUAAUAUAUGUAACACAUGGACAUUGUGCACAAUUGCGAGGUUCGGUGUUUGAUUGGGUGAAUUUGUGUCGAGCUUUUCCAACUUUCUGGUAGAGUCAGUGACAGUGUUCCGACUUAUGUUUAUCGGUCCGAGAAUUUGUGGUUUAAACCUGACAUGUACCAAAAUCAAAAAGUUGAUGUUAUUUGGUAGCUGUCGGUAGCUUUCGCAGGCUGGACGUACCGGUACGCGUUUGCUGCUGUAACCGGUACGUGCGUCGAUUGCGGUGUACGGUAGCGUGGUGUGUACGGAUACAAGAUCAUUUUCCAGCAAACGAGUUCGGUUUGGUUAUUGUGGGUGGUUGUACCGUACAAAACCGUGUACAGGUAACAGGAUGCCAGGUGGGGGCUGUUUUCGUGGAAGCGGGUGUUUUUGCAAUUGUGUGCAACUUCUUUAUAAACACCGCCUAUUAGAGAGCCUCCCUUUGAGCCUAAACCUGGGAGACACGUGAGAAACUUCCUCUUUUGGAUAUCUUCUCAGUUUUGAUGGUUUUCUUGUGGUUUUGAUCUCUUUUUCCUCUUUCUUCUUUUGCUGGUUUUCACCAUGGGAGAAGCUUAGAGAUCUUGGGGGGUUUGGGUUGAGUUCUUUGGAGAUCAACCUUCAACCUAGAGGACUUUGGAGCAAUUGGUUUGGAGUAAUCUAAAGAGCCGUUAGUAGCAAUUUCUCUCUCUAGAUUAGCUUUUGUUGGAUUACUAUAGAUAACCCUAGUUUGGUCAUUUUUAGGGGUUACGAAUUUUUUCUGGGAUUUUCGUUUUUUGAGGUUGAUUUGUAUAUAAUUGAUGGUUUAGAACUUUUGUUAUAGGUUUAGAUUGGAAGACUCUAACUCCCAUUUGCUGAAGAUCGAGAAGAGCUUCCUGUGCGCAAUCGGUAGAGGCUUUUUCCUACCUAGCUUGAGAGUUGAAAUUGAGCUUAGUGUCGUUCAUUUCGGUAGAUGGAAACCAUGUUUCUUACCUUUAAGGGUAGCUAGGAGAUUGAGAGACACCCUCGUUGGAGCGCACAGAGUUUCGUUGCCCAUCGGUGGGUUGGGCUUCGUGUCGAAAUGGGAUGCGAAAAUGGCCGCUAUGCUCUUUUACUCGUUGUAAAUUAUUUUUAAGUUCAUUUGUCUAGUGACUAUAUGAGAGUUUAUAUGAAUUAUAGAGCCAUUCAUAAAUGCCUGCCUUAUGUAUUAUAAAAUUUCAAUAGAUAUAGUAGGCUAUUAUGAGUAGAAAUGGUGCAUACGGAAAGGGUUUAUUUUGCCAGUGGAAUAAUUACAUAUCUCUUAUGAGGAUAUAUGAUUGGAAUAUUGCUUUUGGCAUAGUUGCCAUGUUCCUUCGACAUAGAGAGGCAACGAUGUCUAAAGGGAGCACUUGAAUUGGUAAAUAUGAAAUUGCAAUUAUAGGGACAUAUGAUAGGCCAUACAUAUCUUGUAUUUUCGUGUUAGAGACAUGAUGACAUAGGGAAUAGGCCAUUGAGCAUACUGAACACAUUCCAUGUUAUUAUGACACUGAUGGGACUUGGUACUUGGCACAGUAUCGUUUUGAUAUUGCCGAUUGUGCUCUUAUUCGACAUGCUCUGCUGAGGAUGGUUCGGCUCCUAACAAGCCGGUACUCGGAGAUGGCCAUCGCAGACUACAUUUCGCCAGUGCGUGGAUUGAGGCGGCCGAAGUGUGAUUGCCGUGGGAUGGCUCAUUCCUAAGGGUGGGGAUGAAUGGAACUUAGCCACUGGCAUUGGCCUCGGCAGUGCCAGACAGCCUUCGGGUGUCUCAGGGCAUAGACACUUCGGGUGUGUUUCUUCGAUUUGACGUGAGGAUUCCUCAUGACAUGUGGAAGUUUCUGAUUAGAGUAUUACUUGGACUUUGACCCUAGAAUAGAAAACAACGGAACUUUAUAUUUCGCAUGUGUUGAAAUUGUAAUAGUUGGAGACUUUCAUUAUUGCAUAGUUGCUUUAUAUUUUACUAUUCUGUAAGUAGAGAAUAUGUGUAGUAGGUUACAUUUUAGCUUACCUGCCACAUUUUACUUUUAUAGUCACUGACAUCUUCUGUUUAGCUUUGGGCCUUGUGGUGCAUUCACUGAAGUCAGUAAUUGCCCACUGGGAACUAUUUUUAAUAGUUCUCAUGCCCCCGUUUUGUGGUUUACUUUUCAGAGCCUUCGGCACCGGCGGAGGCACGGGAUCGCGGCAAGGGGAUCGCUUAGCUAGCUAGCGAGGAGCGGUACUUUGCCUAGGUGGUUUACUCUUUUUUUUUGUAGUUGAGGGAGAGUGAGAGAUUUUGUAUCCAUGUAUAGAGACCACCUAUGUACCUACUUUUAACUCUUGUAUUUGGGAUUUCCUACUGUUCUUACUCUAUGUUUCAUUUAGUGGAUUUACUGUUUUAUCCUUAUCCCUUGUUGUAGCAUUUAGAUAUUUAUUAUGCUCUGAUACUCCUAGGUAUCUCUUAUUACUGCUUUUAUUAUUGUUGUUUUUAGACGCCUUAUAUGUUGUAGACAUAUGGCGGGUCUGGGCAUGCGCCGGGCGGGCUCCCGCUGGGUCCCGGGGCGUGACAUAUGAUUCAACUACAUAUCCUUAGAGUUAAGGAUUGAUCAUACUUGCUAUGAGUUCCGUGCUUGAGGGCAGUAGCUCCCCCUCAAGCGAUGCGCUCCGGAGUUUUGCAUCACGAGUUGGAGUAAAUCCGAGGACGGUCCUAGCAGGUGAGUUCCUGCGAGGAUGGACUUAAUGUGAAGCAAGUUUAAUGUGGCGAAACCCCCGGGUUAGCCGUGAGAUUAAAGAACAAAGAACAAAAAGGAAUCAUGAAUUGGAAAGUAGAUCUUGUAUUCAUUAUGAAUUGACUCAAGACCGAGUCGAGUGGCAUAGUUGGCUAAGGUAAAUGUAACCUUAGGAAAGAAUGACAAUUGUGAAAGAAUGACAAUUGAGAAAGAAUGACAAUUGAGAAACGUUUGUUAAUGUUAUAAAGAAUGGCAAAUGUGUAUAAUGCGCCUAAGGUGCGAGUUCCCUUAACAAAGAAUAAAGAAUAAAGAAUAAAGAAUAAAGAGUAAAGAAUGUGGCUAAUGAUAAGGAAUAGCAAAUUCUAAAGAAAGGCUAAUGGUAAAGAAUGACUAAGAGUUGCAUAAUUUGCAUAUUUGUGAGGCAUGAACAUGUAUUGCACGAUGUUAUAUGUAUAUGUAUCUGUUGGACUAACAUGUUGCAGUGCCUCCUUUGGACCUGGUGGGUUGAGCUCUUCCCUUGGGUGGCUGUACCCACUGAGGACUAUGGACAAUAGUCUCACCCCCGUGUUGUUGUUUUUGGGGGUGCAAGUUCACACGCGAGCGGCGCGGCGGCGCGAGGAAAGGGCGUAGCUCCGUAGUUAGCGCCCUACCACCGAGACUAGAUAGGGGUACCUCGAGUCGGCAUAGCCUAGGGGUAGAGGAAAAAGAAAAAAAGAAGAAUCAGUGUUGUAAUAAUUAUGUUUAGAACUUGAUUGUAUAUUUGGAAGUUGAGGAUCAAUGUGAUUUACAAAUAAAGUGAUGAAAAAAUGAAACGUGUAAGAUGCAUAAUCGUAAUAACUUAGUUGAAAUUAUGUUUUUGAUAUUUCCUUAUGCAAUCUUUGGUUGAAUGUGUUCCUUGUUGGAAUUUCGUAUAUUGUAUUGAUUGCGACGCCUUGAACGUAUAGGGGAGACUCUGUCCGCGUACAGGGAAAAUCCUGUCCGUUCGGUAGUCUGUUGGCGUGCCCAAAUCCAACCAAAGAGGCGGGCGCGGGGCAUGACAAAACUGCUUAGUUUGCAGAAUGUAAUGAUAAUUGGAAUUUUGGCUUGCUUUUGAAAUUUUAUCUGUAUCUUUUUUUGCCCGACUCCAGCGCUUGCAAGAAGAGUUACAAACAAAGCCAGGCUCUCAUCUAAACCUAUAAAUAUUACUUAUCUUGCACCUUUAGUUAUCUGGAGAAUAAGAGUUUGAACUUUGAAGAUGUCUAACUUUAGAAUCCUUCUCUUUCUCUAAACUCCGGAUUUCUAUAUUAGUCCUAGUUAAGUUGUUGUUAAUUAUUGUUACAUUCAUUAAUUUGCUUAUUGUUGUAUGAAGAGUGAAGAUGUCUAGCUUUUAUGUAUGCUUAUUUGUGGAAUUGUGUGCUUGUAUGCUCUAUGUUUAUUCAAGCUUUUAUGUAUGCUUAUAUGUGAAAUAGUGAACUUUAUGUAUCUUUUAUUUGUUUACUGUUUAGACUUUAGAAUUUAGAUAUGCUAGCAUGCAGUUAUGCACUAUGCAAAGUGCCAAUUUCAUCUUGUAUUUAGUUUCUAACCGUGCUUGUAUGUGAACAAUUUGUGCCUGCUUUUGGGGUCCAUUUGGUUAACAAUUUGUUCUUCCCUUGGACCAUCCAAAGGAUUCAGCCAACACUCUCACAUUCAGUCCAUUCAAAGAUGAGCAGUACCA